rnacentral:rRNA from 1 species
GACGAACGCUGGCGGCGUGCCUAAUACAUGCAAGUCGAGCGGGGAUGCUUCCGGAAGCCCUUCGGGGCGGAAGGCUGCAUCCUAGCGGCGGACGGGUGAGUAACGCGUAGGGAACCUGCCCCCAACACCGGGAUAACCCGGGGAAACUCGGGCUAAUACCGGAUGCGGUCACCGGGCCGCAUGGCCGGGUGACGAAAGGGCGAAGCCCGCGAUAGGAUGGGCCCGCGUCCCAUUAGCUAGUUGGUGGGGUAACGGCCCACCAAGGCGACGAUGGGUAGCCGGCCUGAGAGGGUGGGCGGCCACACUGGGACUGAGACACGGCCCAGACUCCUACGGGAGGCAGCAGUAGGGAAUCUUCGGCAAUGGGCGAAAGCCUGACCGAGCGACGCCGCGUGGGGGAUGAAGGCCUUCGGGUCGUAAACCCCUGUCCUUGGGGACGAAGUGUUGACGGUACCCAAGGAGGAAGCCCCGGCUAACUACGUGCCAGCAGCCGCGGUAAAACGUAGGGGGCGAGCGUUGUCCGGAAUCACUGGGCGUAAAGGGUGCGUAGGCGGCCGCUUAAGUCCUGUGUGAAAGGCUCCGGCUUAACCGGAGAGGGCCAUGGGAAACUGGGCGGCUUGAGUGCCGGAGAGGGUGGCGGAAUUCCCGGUGUAGCGGUGAAAUGCGUAGAGAUCGGGAGGAACACCAGUGGCGAAGGCGGCCACCUGGACGGUAACUGACGCUGAGGCACGACAGCUGGGGGAGCAAACAGGAUUAGAUACCCUGGUAGUCCCAGCCGUAAACGAUGAGUGCUAGGUGUUGCGGGUAUCGACCCCUGCAGUGCCGUAGUUAACGCAAUAAGCACUCCGCCUGGGGAGUACGGCCGCAAGGCUGA